rnacentral:rRNA from 1 species
GAUGAACGCUGGCGGCGUGCCUAAUACAUGCAAGUCGAGCGAACAGACGAGGAGCUUGCUCCUCUGACGUUAGCGGCGGACGGGUGAGUAACACGUGGAUAACCUACCUAUAAGACUGGGAUAACUUCGGGAAACCGGAGCUAAUACCGGAUAAUAUAUUGAACCGCAUGGUUCAAUAGUGAAAGACGGUUUUGCUGUCACUUAUAGAUGGAUCCGCGCCGCAUUAGCUAGUUGGUAAGGUAACGGCUUACCAAGGCAACGAUGCGUAGCCGACCUGAGAGAGUGAUCGGCCACACUGGAACUGAGACACGGUCCAGACUCCUACGGGAGGCAGCAGUAGGGAAUCUUCCGCAAUGGGCGAAAGCCUGACGGAGCAACGCCGCGUGAGUGAUGAAGGUCUUCAGAUCGUAAAACUCUGUUAUUAGGGAAGAACAAAUGUGUAAGUAACUAUGCACGUCUUGACGGUACCUAAUCAGAAAGCCACGGCUAACUACGUG